GUGUGUAUGACUUUGGCUUCAAUCAACCAAAUUGUUUUCCAUGGCCUAAUCUCUCAUCAAGUUUGCAGAUUCCAAUAAACGUUCAAGCUUUGGUGUUGAUGGAAAAACAGAAUCAAUAUACAAAGAUGUUAUGUACGUAUACUGUAUAAGAAUUGAAAAUCAGUGUUGCUGUUUAUAACAAUUGAAGUUUUGUAAAACGUAGGUGUUGCUGUUUAAAUAACCCGAUAGGAAGGCAUUGUUAAUUAAAUAUAGGUGUUGCUAUUUAAAUCAAAAGAAUUUUGAAAAAUACAGAAUUAAAUAAAAACAUUGGUUUUAAUUAAGCCAGUGGCAUGAUUUUGUAAAUACUGCUGAAACAGGAGGUCACCUCAAAAAAAGGUCUUCUGUUUUAAUAGUAUUGAUAUUUAGAUAUACACUUCUAACAUGUUUUUCUUCCUAGUUGUUUUUUUCAAAAGGAUCUUAGUUCUGCACUUCCAUAAAAUUUUGUUUCCACUAUCAGCUUUUGGUUCCAUGUAACAUAGGUCACAAUAUAUUUUCGCUUACAUAACCCAAGAAGACAAAGCUUUUGGGACCAAUCGCCUAGUCAGAACGUUGUCUGAAUGUCGUUCAAGACAUGACAGACCAAAGUCGAGUCAUUGGUCCUCCCUACAUAAGUGUUCAUUAACACACAUCCAACUUAUUCUGCUUUGUUUGUCAAUGAGAGGUACUUUGGUGAAACAGGAGAAGCAUUACCUUUGUCGUUGCGUUCCAAAAGCUGCAAACGGAGAAGCAUAACACGGUCCAAUAAACACAAAACACAAUAACAACUGAAGUUUCUUUUCUUCAAUUGCCUCUGGUCCAAGAAAAGUAAACGAUAUAAAACUACAAAAGUGUCAUUCUAAUAAUUAUUAUGUUAUCAGCUUAAAAGGUCAAAAAAGAAGAAGUCUACGCCCAAUGUGACGAGAGAAAUGUUAGAGGCAGUUGAAUUUGAGAAGAUACACCAGUCAACGAAUUCCGAAGAAAUUCUCUGAAUGAAAAAUCGUAUUCUUACUCAUUCUGUGUUUGACCAUAAUGAAACCAAUCAUUUUUAUACAUGUUUGAACAGUAACCACUUGGGCUUUCGUUCUUCAACGUCUCUCUCUUGUUGUCAGGACUACGACUGUUCCUCUCCCUCCUCCUCGGGCUCUCACCAUACUCAGUGCCCUACCUUUGUCCACUCAACACAGAGCCUGCGUCCUUUACUCCCAAAUUCAAUACGGUAAAGGCCUCGGAUUGCAUCUUCAGCAUCCCUUUCGUUAUCCAUGUACUCGAAAACCAAAACCUGAUGUUUGUGACCUGUGUAACAGGAAGAUCGAAGUUGUUGGUUGCAGCCAUUUUGACUGGCGGCAAAAAACAGAAAAAGAGAAGAGAGGGUUGAUUAGGUUUAAGGAGCGUUCUGCUCUGAUACUAUAUAGAUAAUGGUUUCUCUUAUUAAAUAAUGAAUGAUACAAGUGCUGUUAUAUAGUUACAGAGGAGAGCGUGGUAUUAACUAGAGAGACAAGAUAUGUAAACAUUCUAUAUUUACAGAGAUAUGAGAAUAUUAUGAGAAGAUACGAGAGUAUCCUAACAGCUUUUGCCGCCAAGGCGCUUGGCAAGAACCUUAUCGCCUCACCACAGGCGACAUACACAGCGAAAAUACAUGGCUUGUAGUCUAAUGUAUGUUGCUCCCAAAGAUGUCACUGCUGCGGUUGCAACCAUGAAGACAAAACGAACCAUUCAGUUUGUGGAUUGGUGUCCUACAAGCCUCCAACUGUUUUCCCGGGUGGUGAAUCUUACAAAAGUUCAGACUUCAGAGAGCUGUGUCUGAUCUCAAACUCAAGGAGUGUCGCUGACAAUAAGACUUUACUUAACUAGUAGGACAGAUUAUUUGUACAGUCCUAGAACCUAAAAAAAAAAAGAAAACUCAGCAAACUUAAUGACCAGUGAAGCAGUUACAGACCUUGCAUUAUGGAAUUAAUAUGCCAAGGAACAACAGAGUGCCUUCUCCAUUGCAGAGUUAUGUGUCCAAGAAUUCAAUGCAAUUAAGAUGGCAUGGCGGAAGGAAAGUGACUCGUUUUGGGAGGACAAUGAGAUGGAUUUCCUUAUGGGCUCAUUCAUGGACUGGUGGGAGUAUGGCAAUCCCAAGAUCAAAACAUCAUGCGUCAAAGAAAAUGCUGAGUAUGGUACUGCUUGUUCAUCGAGGUCAACCACAAAGAUAAAAAAAAAUAACAUGUAUUUAAAAGGCAGAACAUAUAAAAGAGCUUACCAGCUUUCGUAUCGACCCUAUCAACUUUGCCAUAUUUCCUGAAGAUCACCCCUCACGCGCAUCAUACUCAAAGUUCCCACAGAAGACUGCCUUCAUGAUUUUACUACAGAAUCACAACAUAAAAGGAGGUUCACGACGCUUCCUAAACUGAACACUCAACACAGUGUACUAUGUACAUAAGCCAUCACAAUAAACGGACUUGCAAGUGUUGACUUUUUUUGUGAAUCACUAACUACGAAAUAUAUGGCAGACCGUGAUUAAUGACCUAUAUCAGAAUUCACUAACCAUGACUUAAAAAUCUUUUUUACAUAUAUUCGAGCUCAAGUCCAGACAAUUAAUGACCUAAUAUCAGAAUUCAAACGGACAAAGAUCUAAUAACAAGCAAAUAGAUUCUUACAAAGAUUCAACUAAUAACAAACAAACAAAAACCGUAAGAGUAAACACAUCAGAUCCAAGAUCAAUUUAUCUCAAUCAGUUUACCUGUGAAAGUGAUAAAAAUGAACUAGUUGAAAGCUCUCAAGAUAUUUUGUGUGAGAAUUCAGGGCCGGUCCGGAGGGCAAGCCACCCAAGCCGUGGAUUAGAGGAUCCAAAAUAAUAGGGCAUAUUUUUAAGAAAAUAUUCAUACUAUUACCUAUAAACAAAUAAAUUUUUGUAAAUUUUUUUGUUAAAAUAUUAUUUAUAAGGCAUUUUUAUAUAAAAUUUGUUGAACUUUUCAACUAUAUUUAUAAAUUUGUUAUAUAUUAAAUAUAUUAGUACAUUUCUCUUUUAGAUGAUAAUUCAAACUCUAAUUAAAAUUAGCAACAAAACCGAUUUUCAUUUGGUUUCAAUUUAUUCUUUUGCAUCGUUUUGCAUAAUUUUUAUUUUAUUCUAAUUUUUUUUUGUCCUCUUUUCUCUUAACUAUUAAUAUAUAGUUUAGUUUUAAUGUUUUAGUUUUUUCAACUAAUCCUUUACGUAGUAAGAAGAUAUGUUUGUUAUUUCAUAGUUUUCGAAAUGUGAUAAAAGUUUGAUAGUUUCACUUUAUUACGAUAAUAUUUUUGGAUUGUGUUUACUGAUUUUUAUGAUAGACAUAUAAUGGAUGGUUGAAAAAAUGACUGUAGAAAUCUAGUGGAUAAUUUUGUAUAAAAAAUGAAAAACAAAAUUCAUUUUACCAAUAAAUAUUUUUAUCACAGUUUUAUUUCCUAAACAAACUAUAGACUUCCAUUUCUAUUUAAUAAAAAUUAAAGUUGUUUUAUACUGUUUUAUGAUUUUGAUAAAAUAUGUACAAAGGCAUAAUUUUAAAUUUUGAUUGGGGCAGUGGAAAAUGUUAGUCCGACACUGCCCCAAUCAGUCUGAGAUGAAACAGGGUAGUUAGGAGAUGUGACUUUUACGUUUUACGUUUGAAACAGAUAUUUUUUAUAUAAUUCAACUGAUUUUAAAAUAAUUAGGUGGACCGCCCGCACGCAUGUGCAGGCAUUAACAUUAAUAUUAAAUUGAUAAUUAUAUAUUUACAACUAUAUAAUACUUAUGUUACAUGUAUAUAGCUAAUAUGAAAGAUUCGAUGUUACAUAUUCAUAUUUAUACUAUGUUCAUAUGAACAAGAAUACAUUAGAACGUUUAAGAAACGAUCACAUUUAACACUAAUCUUAAAACAACAACAAAAAUAUAAUUGAGAAAAAACAAAUAUUUCAUGCAUAACCCCAAUAAAAAAAUCAGCCAGAAAUAUAAAAGAGAGCUUUGAAUUACCUGAGAUUUAUUAUCAUUGGUUUCAUUAUAACAGCAGAGAUGAUUUACGGUUUCUUUCUCUAAGCCUUGAGUCUGAAAAGAGGUAAUUCUAACAAAAAUAUUUAAAGAUGUAAACAAUCUCCAAAAGAUAACAAAUUAUAUAAUUGAUAGGACAAUGUCAAUGAGUUUCAAAGUUUUUAAAAAGCUUUGAGAUUACCUUUGGCUCUCAGACGUACCGAAGAAGAUCACACACAAUAAAUAAAUUGCACUUGAUUAGCAUACACAUCUUGUAUUAUAUUCUUGAUAAGUGAUUUAACUUUAUAAAAAAAAAGGAUGAUUAGUUCUUGGAUAAACAGAGUCGUCUCUUUUUGUUAGUUGAAUCACUACUGUUGCAAAAAAAUAGAUAGAGAUACAACAUGGAGAGGAAGAGAACAAAAAUAAACGGAGAAGAAAAAUCCUCCAUAAAAUUACCAGUAAUGGUGUUUCCGUCUAUGAGUUACUUAUUGAUUAUCAUACAUCUGCGCAAGAUCACAAAAGUAGAAUUUAAAUUAGAACGAUCAAAAACA